CGCAAGGUGAGUGGCAGACGGGUGAGUAACGCGUGGGAACCUUCCCUUUGGUACGGAAUAACUUCGGGAAACCGAAGCUAGUACCGUAUAAGUCCUUCGGGAGAAAGAUUUAUCGCCAAAGGAUGGGCCCGCGUUGGAUUAGCUAGUUGGUAGGGUAAAGGCCUACCAAGGCUACGAUCCAUAGCUGGUCUGAGAGGAUGAUCAGCCACACUGGGACUGAGACACGGCCCAGACUCCUACGGGAGGCAGCAGUGGGGAAUAUUGGACAAUGGGGGCAACCCUGAUCCAGCCAUGCCGCGUGAGCGAAGAAGGCCUUAGGG
rnacentral:rRNA from 1 species